rnacentral:rRNA from 1 species
GACGAACGCUGGCGGCGUGCUUAACACAUGCAAGUCGAACGGAAAGGCCCUGCUUGCAGGGUACUCGAGUGGCGAACGGGUGAGUAACACGUGGGUGAUCUGCCCUGCACUUCGGGAUAAGCCUGGGAAACUGGGUCUAAUACCGGAUAGGAGCCAUUUUUAGUGUGAUGGUUGGAAAGUUUUUUCGGUGUAGGAUGAGCUCGCGGCCUAUCAGCUUGUUGGUGGGGUAAUGGCCUACCAAGGCGGCGACGGGUAGCCGGCCUGAGAGGGUGGACGGCCACAUUGGGACUGAGGUACGGCCCAGACUCCUACGGGAGGCAGCAGUGGGGAAGAUUGCACAAGGGGCGCAAGCCUGAUGCAGCGACGCCGCGGGGGGGAUGACGGCCUUCGGGUUGUAAACUCCUUUCGCUAGGGACGAAGCUUUUUGUGACGGUACCUAGAUAAGAAGCACCGGCUAACUACGUG